rnacentral:lncRNA from 1 species
UGCUUGUAUGUGAGAGUCAUAUGCCAGGCGCCAUUUUCUCAGAAUUUUUUGUUGUUGUUUGUAACAAAAAAAAAAAAAAAAAAAAAAAAAAGCCAUGCCAGCCAAACAACGGCAUCUAGCUGGAACAUGUGCAUGGCUUCCUUAUCAAUGUAUAUUUUUGUUUGGUAACAUUUACUUUGAUUCCUGGGGUAUAUGCACUCCUUUCCUCUUUAGUGUAGGCAUUUGUUGAGCAUUCCAAUUUUUUGUUUACAUUUUCAUGGUUAAUAUUUAGGCACUGAUCUAUUUUUUAAUUAGGAUUUUUAAACACUUCUGUAAUAUAAUCAUCUUGAACUCACUUAAUCUUUGUCUCACUAAAGGAAAAUUGGAGCUUUUAAAAGGAAAAAGUUUUAAUAAGAACAUAUUAACUGGUGAACUUUAAACUCUAUAAACUAUACCUCAGCAAACCUGUUGAAAUGCUGUUAAGAGACAGGCACAACUCUGAAUUACGUGUCAACCUGGCAGCACCUUGGGAUUCUCCUAGUGAAAGGGGCCAUUCCUUGACCUAGAACCAAGAAUUCAAGCCUCUUCAGAAUUUUUCAAAAGGCUGUUAAAUGCAUUAUUUCAUUGGGAAACCAUGAUAAGAAUGAUGACUUCAGAGUUUUUAAGUAAAAGUCAAGAUCAUAUGUUAUUAGCUAAUACAUUCAAGACUCACAAAUAAGACUAGAAAACUUUAAGAAAAUAAAGCUGGGAAAGUAGAUCUAGUAAGAGUAGAAUAUUAUGGUUUCCUGGUUACUGCACAGGACUGCUGGUUAUAGUAAAUGAUCAUAAUUGAAAACUGAGUAGCUGUGUGUUGGCAUGUCCAUCUAAGAAAGUAGUUUCAUUUUUAAAAUGUACUCUGAUAUUGAGACAAUUGGAGAUCAUUAUAAAGGUUUCAUGUUGCCAUAUUUGGGUAAUUUGCAAAGAAAAUUGUGUGUCCCUAAUAAUAUGCUAAGAGCAAUGCUUGAAGGAAGUUUGGAAAUACAAAAGGGAAUUGAUGAGACGAUUACUUUCCCAUAGUAUGCUUAAUCUAUAGUAUAUUCAUAAAUCAGUAAUUCAAAAUAGAAAGGAUACUUUCUUUUGAAAUCAUCUAUAACAUUCACAAAGACUAUUUUAUAUCCUUCCUCAACAAAUUCAUAAAGGCAAAAGUUAUUUUCACUAUCUAUUAUCAGUAUGCUAUAAUAUAAUCAUGCUUUAACAAAAUAGCUAUCAAAAUAUAUCUACUUUAAAAAAUUUGAAACUCUCUGACUUGGGACUUAGAUAGACCUAACAUUGAGUUCUUCACACAGAAGAGUGUGAGCAUCUAAAUUAACUUUCAGUGUAAGAUGCUAGACAAAGAAAUCAACAGAAAUGGAAUUAGGGAGUUACAUCACUUCCCUUGUGGCUUCAACAAAAUACCCGUCAGAAGCAACUUAGUGGGGGAAGGAGGGUUUGCUUGCCUUACAGGUUGUAAGUAGGCCUGUUUAAGAGUCUUGAGGUACUUCUGUACUGGUUUCCACAGUAGUUGUACAAGUUUACAUUCCUCCAUUUCUCCAUAUCCUCCUGACAUUGGAUGAAAGCCAUUUUGACUGGAAACUCAGUUUUAAUUUGCAUUUCCCUGAUAGCUAAGGAUAUUGGACAUUUUUUUUCAAAUACUUAUCUUGAUAAUUUAUAUUUGUUUUUUGGAACUAUUUAUUCAAUUCAUUAGAUCAAUCAUUGACUGGAUAAUUAGGGGUGUGUCUGUGUGUGUGUGGUGGUGGUGUUGUUGAGUUUGUUGCCUUAUCUGUAACUGUAAGGACAAAUGUUUAUAGACUGGUAUUAGGGAAGAGACUAGUUUAGUAUAUCCGUGAUUGUAGAUUCUCCUCCAAUCACCAAAAAUUCACCAGCACUGAGGAGUAAGCCAGGUUUCCAGUACCAGACAAGGAGCGAUUCAGACAAGUCCUCUCAGAUAAGUGAGUGAAGUACAAGGAAACAUGGCAGGGGAUUAUAUGAAAUUAGGAAGCAACAGGAAGAAAGUGUGCAACCUGUCAAGGAAACAGAAACC